GUUAUAAUGUCUAUUUGGGACCCUUUUUCAUGAAUUGGAGAAAUGCAAAGACAUGUUAAUUUCCCUGUUGAAGAUGUUGUUUGGAUUCAUCAACUUUUGGGAUAUACUCCGUUCCGAAAGGUAGUACUAACAAACUACUCUCUACUUCCAACUUCAUCGGAAUCGCUCUCUUCGCCCUCAUUUGCACGGAGAUGCAAUUCAAGGGCAAAUGGAUUGCGUGUCUUUCUUUCGGCGUACAGACUUUCCGUACCAAAUCAUCCCAACAAAUAGAUAAACUGGUUUGGAAUUCUAGCAAACAAAUGAGCAGGCGAUGAUGGAAAGGGAAAUAGCACAAAAGAGGAGAAUUUUAUAUAUCUUCUAGAUUGGGUUUCUGGAAAUAGCAGGGUCUUUAGAUUCUGUGCUAACAACAUCCAGUCUUAUCCCCGUUCAAAAUUUAGAUCCUGGCGAAGCAAAUUAUCAGGACUUAACGCUAAAAUCAAGUGUAACUCUGUUGGAGAUUUUGAGAUUGUGCUGGAGAGAAGAAAAUGGUUGUGUAGUAACUUGCUGACAUGACAGGUCUUUGUUUUCAACAACAGCUUGGAGAGCUAGGAAGUAAUUAAAACUAAUUUUCAAGCAAGAGGAAGAAGCGAAUAUUAGAAAGAAGAAAAAUAUGAUAUGAAGUGAAGAAAUGAUGGGUAGGGUUUUGAGGGUUUUAAUUUUGUUUUUGUUUUUCUUUGUUUGAAGAAAGAGUUUACGAACAUGGUAAUGAGUAUUCAUUUCAUCAUUGUCAAUUUAGAUAUACUUUUAUUUUCCUACUUGAUUGCUACUCAUCUUGUUCUUCAUGAACUCCUAUACUCUAGCCUGUAUGGUACUUGAAUGUAUAAUACUUUGGACUUACCCUUAACUCUAAUCCAAAACUAUCUUAACUUG